CACUUCCUUUGUUAGCUGUAUUCCUAGGUAUUUUAUUCUUUUUGUGGCUAUUGUGAAUGGGAGUUCAUUUGUGAUUUGGCUCUUGGCUUGCCUGUUGUUGGUGGAUAGGGAUGCUAGUGAUUUUUGCAAAUUAAUUUUGUAUCCUGAGACUUUGCUGAAGUUGCUUAUCAGCUGAAGAAGCUUUGGGGCUAAGAUGAUGGGUUUUUCUAGAUAUAGGAUCAUAUCGUCUGCAGACAAAGAUCGCUCUACUUCCUCUCUUCCUGUUCGAAUACCCUUUAUUUCUUUCUCUUGCCUGAUUGCCCUGGCACAUUGUCUUGUGCUGGUUUUCAAGGGGAAUGUUUCCAGUUUUUGCCCAUUCAGUAUGAUACUGGCUGUUGCUCGUCACAGAUGGCUCUUAUUAGUUUGAGCUAUGUUCCUUCAAUAUCUAGUUUAUUGUGAGUUUUUACCAAGAAGCGAUGUUAAAUUUUAUCAAAAGCCUUUCCUGCAUCUAUUGAGAUAAUCAUGUGGUCUUUGUCUGUAGUUCUGUUUGGCAUUGGGAUGUUUUUUAAUAAGCUCCCUGGUGGAUCUGCUGUGCAGGCAGGGCUGGGAGCUGCAUGCUGAGUCUGUGGACACAUGGGCUCUGCUGCCUCAUCAGCAACCCCACACUUGGCUGGCACAGUUGCCACAAGUAUGCUCCAGAUCCAAGCUGCUCAGGGCGGGGUCAGGUGGGGGCAGACAAUACAACAAAGAGGCUUUGUCCCCAGUGCCACACCCCAGGGUAAAGAGGUGCCUGUGGACCUGGGCUGUACCUGAGAGAGGAGGGUCAUUCCCAGGUGGUGGCUGUGGGAGAUGGGAUUACCAAACCACCACUUUCCCAGGGACUGCCUGAUGACUUGCAACAGAGAAGACGAUGGAGAUUUCCAGCCCUGUGGUUUUAAGAUGCUCGGAAGGGUGUGGCUGACAGAUGGAAGGACGCACAAACACAGCAUUUCCCAGUGGGGUCCACAGAUCCAGCCUCAUGGGGUGCUUGUGAUCAGAGUGCAGAUUACUGAGCUACAGAGCUAAGUUCUUCACCUGCACCACCUCAUCUGCCCUCGCAGUUGCCGUUCUUCAUCCCUGCUUUGCAAACAGAGCUGGAGAGUUGAGUACCUGCCGCACGCAGCAUGUCCACACCCCAGGCCAUGCCCACUCUACCCCUCUGCAGAGUAGAUGGCACCAGGCUUCAUCUGUCCCCUGCAGGCCCGGCACUGAGCCACCCUGUCUGUACCUGGCUCUGACCUCCUACCAGAUGGGGAGAGGGAAGCACCAGGCCUGAUGCGUCUCUGUGGCCCCCAAACCUGGCCCAACACAAGGCCUGGCACAGACAAAGGUCCAUUAAGUAUAUGAGUGAAUACUUGAGUGACUGAAUGAAUAAGAGAAAGCCAGGACCCCUUGUCAACAAGGUUUUGGACUUGGUGGACAAGAACACGAUCGUGUUCAGGGAGCAGAGGGCCUCAGAAGCAUCUGGAUUCUCCACUCUGACUCACGGGAACUGACCCUCACCCAGCCUCCUGGCCUAGGUGAGGUGAGGAGUUAGGUUGAUCAUGGAGGAGAAGGGGCUUUGGGCACUGCAAGAGGAUGCAAGGGCAACCCUUGUCCCCCCUCUCUGUACAAGGAAGAACCUUGUUUAGGACCCAGGUCUCCCUGCUCCUGGUCACUGGGGUCCUCCCCUCAACACUCCUUAUGAUUGCACCAUAAUUAUCCUUAUCAUUACAAACAAUCCCGCCCUGUGGGAAGUGCCCUGGAGGGACUAUCUUGUGCCAACCAACAGGGGAACAAUAGAGCCAUUCCUGGGUGCACCCCCCUUGACCUUGAAGCCUGGCCAUGCCCACCCAUCUGAAGGUGAGUCGCCCAGCACCCGGGAGGCAGGGGGCUCUCUCCCUGGUACAGAAAUGAGAUUUUGAGGUUCCAAGGAAGGGAAUUCACUCACCUGAGGGCACAUGGCCACAAAAACAGUCAAAGGUUUGGGAUGAUGAGAGAGUUUAGAGAUGGAUAAUGGUGAGAGUUGCACGACAAUGUGAAUGUACUUCAUGCCAUGGAAUUGUGCACUCAAAUGGGGUUACAGUGGUAAAUUUGAUGUUACAUAUACUUGGGCACACACUCCUACACCCAUGGCCAAGGUGGAGAUCUCAACUCCAGCCUGAUUGCUCUGCCCCCAAUUUCCCUUUUAUUACAGGAAUUUAAAGCUUCUUUAUCAUCUUCAAAUGAAGCAAACUCUAUAAAUGCAUGCAUACCCUUUAGAUUUGCCAUUUAGGUUCUGGGGCACUUUGAUAAAAGUUGCCUUCUCAGACACUUCCUGAAGAGAUUUUUUGGGUUUUUUUG
ensembl:lncRNA